GAAAUGCGAUACGUAGUGUGAAUUGCAGAAUUCCGCGAAUCAUCGAGUUUUUGAACGCAAGUUGCGCCCGAGGUCUAGUGCCGAGGGCAUGCCUGCCUGAGCGUCAUGUGCCCAACCCACCGACUCUCUCUUCUCUCCCCUUUGGGAGGGAGAGUGGUGAAGCUGGCGGUCCGGGAGCAAAGGGCUCGCGGUCGGCUGAAAUGCAGCGAAGUCUGGACGAGGCGGUGCGGGAGCCGCAGUCAGGUGGUUCGCCCUUUGGGGGCGAAGGCUGUUUGAGCGGCCCUGUGCCGCCGGUCCCCAUGACUUUGUGAAAAAAUCAGGUGGAUGUGCCGGCUCCCCGAGGGAGAGUCGGCGAUCCAUGUUAUUAUCCCUGUUGACCUCAGAUCAGGCAAGACUACCCGCUGAGUUUAA
rnacentral:rRNA from 1 species